UACGGGGGGGGCAAGCGUUGUUCGGAAUUACUGGGCGUAAAGGGCUCGUAGGUGGCCAACUAAGUCAGACGUGAAAUCCCUCGGCUUAACCGGGGAACUGCGUCUGAUACUGGAUGGCUUGAGUUCGGGAGAGGGAUGCGGAAUUCCAGGUGUAGCGGUGAAAUGCGCAGAUAUCAGGAGGAACACCGGUGGCGAAGGCGGCUAACUGGUCCGGUACUGACGCUGAGGUGCGAAAGCGUGGGGAGCAAACAGG
rnacentral:rRNA from 1 species